rnacentral:rRNA from 1 species
CGUACACACGUACUACAAUGGCUAUAACAGAGGGAAGCGAAAUAGUGAUAUAGAGCAAAACCCUAAAAACGGUCUCAGUUCGGAUUGAAGGCUGAAAUUCGCCUUCAUGAAGCUGGAAUUGCUAGUAAUGGCAGGUCAGCAUACUGCCGUGAAUACGUUCCCGGGCCUUGUACACACCGCCCGUCAAACCAUGAGAGUCACCAACACCCGAAGUCCGCCUUGGCGGCCUAAGGUGGGGAGAUGAUUGGGGUUAAGUCGUAACAAGGUACC